AGACAAUGGAGAGUUUGAUCCUGGCUCAGGAUGAACGCUGGCGGCGUGCCUAAUACAUGCAAGUCGAACGGGAAUCUUCGGAUUCCAGUGGCGAACGG
rnacentral:rRNA from 1 species